CAGGAGAAAGAUGGCCCAACAAUCUUCCUGGCUUUGAUCUGCUGAACUGAAGAUCCUAGUGGAUUAUGGUUGUAGAACAAAAAUGCCAACAUUCAACUUUCCAGAGUGUGACAAUCUGUGCUUUAUGCAGAGGAUCAUAUCCAUACAAAAAACAGAAAACGACAGUGGAAGACACUCUGGAGGAGCAUAGAAUCAUAGAAUGAAUUAAGCCCCUCCAUCAAUCCAUGCUGCAGAGGAGUGGGCAUUCACAGUGAUUCUCCAGAUACCCUUCCUGGUGUGGUUGUUUAUGUCCAAAUGACAACAGACUAGAUGGGGAGCAAUAUGUCACCUUCUCUGGACACUGAUUUCUUCAGAAGGCAUUUUCCUGCAACAUGAAUAUUGGGUUCAAGUCUCCAUUUUUAAUGUGACAGAGUUCGGGCAUGAUGACCAUGAAUUUGGCGUUUGUCCUCGCCUUGUUGAUGCAGACUGUGCAGGCGAAUGCUGAGUUAGAUGCAGCUAUGCUUGAACACCUGAAGCAGCGUGAGCUGUUUCUGCAAGAGAAGAUGGCACAGCUGCUGCUGGAGACAGAGCAGCAGAAGCUGGAACAGAGCAAGAUGGACAUGCAGGCCCUUCUCUUCACUGCACUGCAGUGUUGGGCCUUGGC
ensembl:lncRNA